rnacentral:lncRNA from 1 species
CCCCCAGCAGUUGACUAUUCUGGCCACCAUCGAUGUUGGCGGAGGGUGGAUGGGUUGUCGUCGCGCCGCCGUCGGCUAAUUGGAGACAUACCAUUGCUGGGGGCUCGAUUGGUGCACGGUGGGGUUCGGAGAUAUGCAGGGAAGCUUAUGGGGGCGUCAGGGGAGAGCGAAGGACCCUGUAGCCGCCGGAAUUGCUCUCUGAUGCCUCUGCUCCGCCGUGGGCCGUGCUGCACCGUGGCCGGUGCCCUCCACGUCGCGAUAACCGGUGAGACUUAUCUCUUUGUGCUCGUGAUCAUCAAGGCUCAGUGUAGCAACGUUCGAAUUGAAGAUUCGUCCGGGUUAUGGAUUUUUGCGGUGGGGAUCGGCCAUGGCACCGCUGCGUAAGAACUGGUGGCGCAGCCGUCCUCAGAUCGGUAGGUAGGAGACGACCAUCUGGCCGUUCAAUUUGUGAUGGGCGGCCCAGAUUUGUGCUAGUGAAUCGAUUGGAAUCGGCUGUUGUGGGCUGUCCGAUCUGAUCGGAGGGAUAGGAUUAACUCUCGUUUCAUAAAACCUCGGUCGUGGAUUCUGAAUCCAAGGAUUGCGAUGGCGUACCGGUUCACCUAGUGAAGAUCUAAUCGGUGCCAUCAAUUCCGGAUCCAACGGCUCAGCCAUGACCAUACCGCUUCACCAUGGACUAUUUGCAUAUGAGCCCCUAGAUUUAUUCAGAAACAACCCGCACUCCACUCUGUGGGGAAUCCUGAGUCUUGGGGAGAUUUGCGAGUUAGCCCCUGCACUCCUCUGUUUUUAUGCGCGCAGUCCAGACUCAUAGGAAAAUUCAGAAAUUCAAUUAGAAAAUGAUUUUUAGUAUAUAAAUAAUUCCAGAAACUCAUUUUAUUCAUAGAAAAUUCAUACUAACUCCUUUUAGUCCAUUCCAGUUCCUAUAAUUUUAUACUUAGUAACUGCUAAUAAAAUUUUGACCAACUUUAAAAGCAAUGCUCAGCUCUAACCAUCGUCUUUGGUAAGCCUUACACUUCACGUGAGCUCCCACCUUUGGCGAGUUCAUGCACAUUAUUCCCCACAACUUGUUGAGCUAUGAACGUAUGUGAGCUCACUCUUGCUGUCUCACACCCCCCACAGAUCAAGAACAGGUAUCACAGGAUGAGGUGCAUGGAGGAUGCUGUGAUGAGUUCGUGAGUGGUCUAGGCCGUCGUCUCACAGUCAACUUUGGGUUGCUGGACCGUUGUCUCCUUAUAAUGUAAUUAUUUAUUU